rnacentral:rRNA from 1 species
GACGAACGCUGGCGGCGUGCUUAACACAUGCAAGUCGAACGGAAAGGCCCUGCUUUUGUGGGGUGCUCGAGUGGCGAACGGGUGAGUAACACGUGAGUAACCUGCCCUUGACUUUGGGAUAACUUCAGGAAACUGGGGCUAAUACCGGAUAGGAGCUCCUGCUGCAUGGUGGGGGUUGGAAAGUUUCGGCGGUUGGGGAUGGACUCGCGGCUUAUCAGCUUGUUGGUGGGGUAGUGGCUUACCAAGGCUUUGACGGGUAGCCGGCCUGAGAGGGUGACCGGCCACAUUGGGACUGAGAUACGGCCCAGACUCCUACGGGGGGCAGCAGUGGGGAAUAUUGCACAAUGGGCGGAAGCCUGAUGCGGCAACGCCGCGUGCGGGAUGACGGCCUUCGGGUUGUAAACCGCUUUCGCCUGUGACGAAGCGUGAGUGACGGUAAUGGGUAAAGAAGCACCGGCUAACUACGUG